rnacentral:rRNA from 1 species
GGACUACUCGGGUUUCUAAUCCUGUUUGAUCCCCGCGCUUUCGCGCCUCAGCGUCAGUUGUCGUCCAGAUAGCCGCCUUCGCCACCGGUGUUCCUCCUAAUAUCUACGAAUUUCACCUCUACAUUAGGAAUUCCGCUAUCCCCUCCGACACUCUAGCUUAUCAGUUUCAAAGGCAAUUCCCAGGUUGAGCCUGGGGAUUUCACCUCUGACUUGAUAAGCCGCCUACGCGCGCUUUACGCCCAGUAAUUCCGAACAACGCUAGCACCCUUCGUAUUACCGCGGCUGCUGGCAC